rnacentral:rRNA from 1 species
CGUCGCUUCGGUAUCAAAGGGAAACUUGCCCCUAGAUACGUGGGACCUUUCAAGAUUGUCAACAAGAGAGGCGACCUCGCCUAUCAACUCGAGCUUCCUUCAAACUUUGCAAAUGUUCAUGAUGUGUUCCAUGUCUCUCAGCUUCGAAAGUGCUUCAAGACUCCUUACCGCACCGUCAACUUCGAGGACAUUGAGCUCCAAGAAGAUCUCUCUUAUCGUGAGCACCCAGUUGCUAUUCUUGAAGAGACUGAACGCAAGACUCGCAACAAGUCAAUCAAAUUUCUCAAAGUCAAUUGGUCACACCAUUCC